rnacentral:rRNA from 1 species
GGGGAUUAUUGCACAAUGGGCGAAAGCCUGAUGCAGCCACGCCGCGUGAGUGAUGAAGGCCUUCGAGUAGUAAAACUCUGUCCUCAAGGAAGAUAAUGACGUUACCUGCGGUGGAAGACUCGGCUAACUACGUGCCAGCUGCAGCUCUAAUACGUAGGGGGCUAGCGUUAUCCGGAUUUACUGGGCGUAAAGGGUGCGUAGGCGGUCUUUCAAGUCAGGAGUGAAAGGCUACGGCUCAACCGUAGUAAGCUCUUGAAACUGGGAGACUUGAGUGCAGGGGAGGGUAGUGGAAUUCCUAGUGUAGCGGUGAAAUGCGUAGAUAUUAGGAGGAACACCAGUUGCGAAGGCGGCUCUCUGGACUGUAACUGACGCUGAGGCACGAAAGCGUGGGGGGCAAACAGGAUUAGAUACCCUGGUAGUCCACGCUGUAAACGAUGAGUACUAGGUGUCGGGGGUUACCCCCCUCGGUGCCGCAGCUAACGCAUUAAGUACUCCGCCUGGGAAGUACGCUCGCAAGAG